UUGUAUGAAGCAUUGGAAACAGUGUGGGAAGCCUCUAACCCAGCUUGGUGCUACAGCAGAGGCUGGAGGGUGGAUGGUCAGAGGAAAAGUCAGAGAAGAUUCCUCACAAAAGGGGACAUUUACCAAGCAGUCAGGAAUAGGAAGGACAUUCCAAGCAGCAGGAAGAGUAUGACAAAGAGGAGGAGAGGAUAAAGAGGGUCUUAUUUCUUGGGAGGAUGGUUCACUGGGGCACACCUGACAAGCCCACUUCCCCUCACUCCUGUCCCUGGACAAGGGACAGACAAGGAUUUGGCCCGGGGUCACUCACUCUGUCUCCACAGCCAGCCGCCCCUCACCAGGGCCAUCUCUUCAAAAGGACUUUCCAGGAUGGGGUCAGGUGGAACCUAGGAGAGGAGCCAUAGGACACACAGGCCUCAUCAUCAACUCCAGGGCAGCUCCCCAGACAGCAGCCCCAGCUCUGUCCUCCCUGGGGGAGCCACCGAGGAAACAUUUAAGGGAGUGCUCAUAAACAAGGUUGGCUCCAUGCCCACCUGGAGCCCAAUGUUGGGCGUGAAGUCACAGCUGUGAGAUCAAGACCUGAACUGAGACCAAGAGUUGAAUGUUUAAUGGACUGAGCUACUCAGGUGCGCCUCCCACAUUCUUUAAAUCAGCCAGAAAUUUUUGUCAUGUUUCUGUUGCUUGACACCUAUAAACAAUAAAACCAUGAAUCCCUAAAA